rnacentral:lncRNA from 10 species
GUAGGAACUUCGCGUUCCCACCCUCCAGGGGAGGAGAUUGGAUCAGGCGCCAGCCUUGAGGUGUCUGAUUGGAGAAAAGCUGUGCAGUGCCGCUCCCCCGACCGACUCCUUGAGAAGAAACGGCGGAGACCUGAGACCCGGAGGCUGAGGCUGUAGGUGGGCUCCGCUGGGUAAAAGUUGCCGCAGCAGCUGUCCCUUGGCCCCAUCGCGAUUUAUUUUUCCCCCUUGCUUUCCGGGUCCCGGGAUCCCAAGUUUGUAACUAACGGGAGCGAAUCCACACCCGAGCAAAAUGUUUGCGAGUUUCAGGCGCCCUUAGUUGAAAGGCUGUAAUUAACAAGUCCGCUGUUUGCCAGCCAGGCGCCGUUGCAGGCGCUUUCUGUGGAUUGUCAUUUAUUUCUCACAGCAACCCUAGGAGGCUGUUAUCCUUGACAUCUGCAGCAGCCCUUCCAAGCUGUGGAGACCAGGUCAUCUGGAAUGCCCAUUUAUGUCAAUGGAAGAAAGAAAAAGGGGUCUCCUCCCAUCCUCACCACUGCAUUCUCCCACCAACCCUGCUCCUGUCCCACUUCCCACAACUCAGUUGUUGACAAUUUAACAGUGGGUUUCUGGAAACAGUGCUGCCUCCUUGAUGGUCUAACUAACUACCAGAGUUAUUCUAACAGCAGGAAUUUCAAGCCAGCAAACCAGACAUACAUAGGAGGCACAGCAAAAGACCCAAGGUGAGGGGCUUCCCUCACCUUCACCCUUGUUCUCACGUGGAGGUGGCGCAUGUCUAUGAGACACAGUACCCCACUCAGCGAUCCUCUGCAGUCCAGGAAAUUCUAGCACUUGCUUGGAAAACAAAUCAAGUGGAUGGAGUACAGUGGUGCCAUCUUCGCUCACUGCAGCCUUCGUCUCCCGGGUUCAAGCAAUUCUCCUGUCUCAGCCUCCCAAGUAGCUGGGAUUACAGACCCAUCAAGCCUUCAGAUAAGACUGCAGCCUCAUUACAGACCUUGAACUGGAGGCAGCCAGCUGAGUCACACCUGGAUUCCUGACCCUUAGAAACUAUGAGAUAAUAAAUGUUUACAGUUUUAAGCCACUAAGUUUCG